rnacentral:rRNA from 1 species
GACGAACGCUGGCGGCGUGCCUAAUACAUGCAAGUUGAGCGAUGAAGAUUGGUGCUUGCACCAAUUUGAAGAGCAGCGAACGGGUGAGUAACGCGUGGGGAAUCUGCCUUUGAGCGGGGGACAACAUUUGGAAACGAAUGCUAAUACCGCAUAACAACUUUAAACAUAAGUUUUAAGUUUGAAAGAUGCAAUUGCAUCACUCAAAGAUGAUCCCGCGUUGUAUUAGCUAGUUGGUGAGGUAAAGGCUCACCAAGGCGAUGAUACAUAGCCGACCUGAGAGGGUGAUCGGCCACAUUGGGACUGAGACACGGCCCAAACUCCUACGGGAGGCAGCAGUAGGGAAACUUCGGCAAUGGACGAAAGUCUGACCGAGCAACGCUGCGUGAGUGAAGAAGGUUUUCGGAUCGUAAAACUCUGUUGGUAGAGAAGAACGUUGGUGAGAGUGGAAAGCUCAUCAAGUGACGGUAACUACCUAGAAAGGGACGGCUAACUACGU